rnacentral:rRNA from 1 species
UACGUAGGGCGCAAGCGUUGUCCGGAAUUAUUGGGCGUAAAGAGCUCGUAGGCGGCCUGUUGCGUCCGCUGUGAAUCCCGGGGCUUAACCCCGGGCGUGCAGUGGAUACGGGCAGGCUGGAGGCAGGCAGGGGAGAACGGAAUUCCCGGUGUAGCGGUGAAAUGCGCAGAUAUCGGGAGGAACACCGGUGGCGAAGGCGGUUCUCUGGGCCUGUACUGACGCUGAGGAGCGAAAGCGUGGGGAGCGAACAGG